rnacentral:rRNA from 1 species
UACGUAGGGUGCGAGCGUUGUCCGGAAUUACUGGGCGUAAAGAGCUCGUAGGUGGUUUGUCGCGUUGUUCGUGAAAACCGGGGGCUUAACCCUCGGCGUGCGGGCGAUACGGGCAGACUGGAGUACUGCAGGGGAGACUGGAAUUCCUGGUGUGAGCGGUGGAAUGCGCAGAUAUCAGGAGGAACACCGGUGGCGAAGGCGGAUCUCUGGGCCAUUGACUGACGCUGGAGGAGCGAAAGCGUGGGGAGCGAACAGG